rnacentral:rRNA from 1 species
AUUGAACGCUGGCGGCAGGCCUAACACAUGCAAGUCGAGCGGAUGAAGGGAGCUUGCUCCUGGAUUCAGCGGCGGACGGGUGAGUAAUGCCUAGGAAUCUGCCUGGUAGUGGGGGAUAACGUCCGGAAACGGGCGCUAAUACCGCAUACGUCCUGAGGGAGAAAGUGGGGGAUCUUCGGACCUCACGCUAUCAGAUGAGCCUAGGUCGGAUUAGCUAGUUGGUGGGGUAAAGGCCUACCAAGGCGACGAUCCGUAACUGGUCUGAGAGGAUGAUCAGUCAGGUGAGAACAGAGACACGGAUCAGGCUGGAAGGGGAGGGGGGAGAGGGAAAGAUGGGAACGAGGGCGAAAGCAUCACCCGACGAGGCCGUGGUUGGGAAAGAGGUUUUGGUAUUUGAAAGCACGUGGAGGGGGGGGGAGGGGCAGUAAGUUAAUCCCUUUUUGUUUUGACGUUACCAACAGAACAAGCGACGGCUAAUGUCGUGCAAGCAGCGGGGGUAAUAGAAGCGCCCACGUCUGAAC